rnacentral:rRNA from 1 species
GAGUCUGGUAAUUGGAAUGAGUACAAUCUAAAUCCCUUGACGAGGAUCCAUUGGAGGGCAAGUCUGGUGCAAGCGACGGCGGUAAUUCCAGCUCCGAUANNGUAUAUUUGAGUUGUUGCAGNUAAAAAGCUCGUAGUUGGACCUUGNGGGUCGGCGGUGCUCGCCGCCUCNCGGUGUGAACCGACCUAUCCGACCCUUCUGUCGGCGAUGCGUGCCGAGCCUUAAUUGGCCCGGCCCCUGCCGGCGCCGCUUACUUU